GGUGCCAGCAGCCGCGGUAAUUCCAGCUCCAAUAGCGUAUAUUAAAGUUGUUGCAGUUAAAAAGCUCGUAGUUGAAUUUCGGGAUUAGUAGGUUGGUCGUGCCUCUGGUAUGCACUGGCUUUACUGGUUCCUCCUUCUUGAAGAACUGUAAUGUCAUUAAUUUGGUGUUGCAGGGAAACAGGACUGUUACUUUGAAAAAUUAGAGUGUUUAAAGCAGGCUAACGCUUGAAUACAUUAGCAUGGAAUAAUGAAAUAGGACGUUUGAUCCUAUUUUGUUGGUUUCUAGGAUUGACGUAAUGAUUAAUAGGGAUAGUUGGGGGCAUUAGUAUUCAAUUGUCAGAGGUGAAAUUCUUGGAUUUAUUGAAGACUAACUACUGCGAAAGCAUUUGCCAAGGAUGUUUUCAUUAAUCAAGAACGAAAGUUAGGGGAUCGAAGACGAUCAGAUACCGUCGUAGUCUUAACCAUAAACUAUGCCGACUAGGGAUCGGAUGAUGUUAUUUUUAAUGACUCAUUCGGCGCCUUACG
rnacentral:rRNA from 1 species